UACGAAGGGGGCUAGCGUUGUUCGGAUUUACUGGGCGUAAAGCGCACGUAGGCGGGUUGUUAAGUCAGGGGUGAAAUCCUGGAGCUCAACUCCAGAACUGCCUUUGAUACUGGCAACCUAGAGGCUGGAAGAGGUCAGUGGAAUUCCCAGUGUAGAGGUGAAAUUCGUAGAUAUUGGGAAGAACACCAGUGGCGAAGGCGGCUAACUGGUCCAGAUCUGACGCUGAGGUGCGAAAGCGUGGGGAGCAAACAGG
rnacentral:rRNA from 1 species